rnacentral:rRNA from 1 species
GAAGGGGGCUAGCGUUGCUCGGAAUCACUGGGCGUAAAGGGCGCGUAGGCGGCCAUUCAAGUCGGGGGUGAAAGCCCAGGGCUCAACCCUGGAAUUGCCUUCGAUACUGUUUGGCUAGAGACCGGAAGAGGUUAGUGGAACUGCGAGUGUAGAGGUGAAAUUCGUAGAUAUUCGCAAGAACACCAGUGGCGAAGGCGGCUAACUGGUCCGGUUCUGACGCUGAGGCGCGAAAGCGUGGGGAGCAAACAGGAUUAGAUACCCUGGUAGUCCACGCCGUAAACGAUGGAUGCUAGCCGUUGGCCGGCUUGCCGGUCAGUGGCGCAGCUAACGCUUUAAGCAUCCCGCCUGGGGAGUACGGUCGCAAGAUUAAA